GUGCCAGUAGCUCAACGGCAGAGCGCUGGGUUGUGGUCCUAGAUGUUGUGGGUUCAAAUCCCAUCUGGCACC
rnacentral:tRNA from 1 species